UACGGAAGGCAGCAGUGGGGAAUAUUGCACAAUGGGCGAAAGCCUGAUGCAGCUAUGCCGCGUGUAUGAAGAAGGCCUUAGGGUUGUAAAGUACUUUCAUCGGGGAGGAAAAAACAAAACUAAUAAUUUUAUUUCUUGACGUUACCCGAAAAAGAAGCACCGGCUAACUCCAUGCCAGCAGCCGCGGUAAUACGGAGGGUGCUAGCGUUAAUCAGAAUUACUGGGCGUAAAGAGCGCGUAGGUGGUUUUUUUAAGUCAGAUGUGAAAUCCCUGGGCUUAACCUGGAACUGCAUUUUGAAACUGAAAUACUAGAGUAUCGUAGAGGGAGGUAGAAUUCUAGGUGUAGCGGUGAAAUGCGUAGAUAUCUGGAGGAAUACCUGUGGCGAAAGCGGGCCUCCUAAACGAAUACUGACACUGAGGGUGCGAAAGCGUGGGGAGCAAACAGGGAUUAGAUACC
rnacentral:rRNA from 1 species